rnacentral:rRNA from 1 species
UACGUAGGGUGCAAGCGUUGUCCGGAAUUAUUGGGCGUAAAGGGCUCGUAGGCGGUCCGUCACGUCGGGAGUGAAAUCCUGGGGCUUAACCCCAGAACUGCUUCCGAUACGGGCAGACUAGAGGUAGGUAGGGGAGAAUGGAAUUCCUGGUGUAGCGGUGGAAUGCGCAGAUAUCAGGAGGAACACCAGUGGCGAAGGCGGUUCUCUGGGCCUUACCUGACGCUGAGGCACGAAAGCGUGGGGAGCAAACAGG